UUUUGCCAAAGUAAUCUAAACAA
rnacentral:snRNA from 1 species